UAGCCCACCCAAAGAUCAUCCUCGCAUUUCCCUUUGUCCCCCUUCCCAUCCCAAAUGGCCAUCUCCUUACAGAAGCUGUGUAUAGUUAUCAUUUCAAUUUUUGUUGUCUUCUUCUUCUUUCCAGGCUUGUGUGUUUCUGACUUAUUCAUGUCCAAAAGAUGCCAUUCCGAUGAAUCUGAAGCUCUUUCUGUUUUCAAAGCAGCCUUCAAUGACUCAGGAGGCUAUCUCACUUCGUGGGUAAAUGAGACAGACUGUUGCACCAUGUGGCUUGGCAUUUCCUGCAAUAAUCAAACCAACCGCGUUGUCUCUGUUGAAGUAGGCCAUUACUACAUUCAAGACAUUCAAGGUGUGAUAUCUGACAGCUUGUGCCAACUUCAUUUUCUCACAUCGCUGAGCAUACAUGGAGUAAUAGGUGCCACCACUCUUCCUCACUGUUUAGGAAGUCUUCCUUAUAUUGACACUUUAGAUUUAUCUUGGAAUGGCUUGAGUGGGGUGAUUCCCUCUUUCGUUUGUUUGCUAACCCGCCUUACAUACCUUGAUCUUAGUUUCAAUAAUCUCAAUGGAAGCAUACCUUCCUGCUUGGGCAAUCUUUCUUCUUUAGCUGAGCUUCGGCUUGGUUACAAUCAUCUCAAUGGAAUCAUACCAGCUUCUGUGUGUAAUAUUUCUCCUCUUGAGUCCCUUGACCUCCGUGACAAUAAACUCAAUGGAAGCAUACCUUCCUGUCUGGGCAAUCUUUCUUCUUUAACUGAUGUUAUGCUGAAUAGAAACCAACUGGGUGGGAGCAUACCGGCUUCUCUGGGUAGUAUUUCUUCUCUUAAAUAUCUAUACCUUUUCGCGAACCUAUUGAGUGGGAGAAUACCGGCUUCUCUUGGAAGUCUCUCUUCAUUAAGGGAAUUAGACAUUGCAGACAAUCAACUGAGCAGUAACAUCCCACAUUCCUUAGGAAAUCUCUCUUUGCUUGAGUUCAUGGAUAUUAGCAGAAACCAACUAACUGGGACCAUUCCCACUUCAUUUUCUCAGCUUUCCUCGCUCAUCCUCUUCCAUGCUGCUGCCAAUCCCUUCAAUGACACCAUAUUGUCUUCUUCAUUUCCAACUUCUAUAGAGUCUCUAGAUCUGCCACUAAACCACCAGCCAAUUUCAGAAACAUUCUUCUACAACCUUACAAAGGUUAAGAAGUUGAGUUUAUCUAGUUGUGUCCUAAAUACUAAGACAACCUGGAUUCCAUCCUUUCAGUUAAUUGAGAUAUCUUUAGUGUCAUGUAUGAUUGACAGUGAAAUUCCUGAUUGGAUUUCAACACAGUUUUCUCUUGAAAUAAUGGAAUUAGUUAAUGUUGGUCUUGUGGGAGAAAUUCCCUCUUGGCUGUGGGAAACCAUUCCUAAGUUGCAAUAUCUAAAUCUUUCAGAAAAUCAUCUAGAAGGAAACCUUUAUUCAAAUACUACGGUCUGGAUCCAACUAGUGACUUUAGAUGUGUCUAGAAAUGAAUUGAGUGGACACAUGCCAUCAAUAUGGUCUCCUAAUAUAAGACAUUUGCUACUCAAUAAUAACUUGUUCAAUGGGAAAAUACCUCCAAGCUUGGAAAGAUUAUCUCAACUUGAGCUAUUAAAUCUUGCAAAUAAUUUCUUUAUUGGAGAGAUUCCUGUCAGCUUGUCCAAAUGCUCCUCCCUUCGUAUCUUAAAUUUGGGAAAUAAUAGCUUGAGGGGAAGUUUACCACAUGAAUUCAGUGAGUUAAGUGAAUUAUAUUCACUAGUUGUCCAUAGUAAUAAUCUGACUGGAACAUUUCCUCCUUCAAUAGCAAAUUGCUCAAAGCUACAAGUUCUUGAUAUUGGAAAUAACUUAUUUGAAGGUGAAAUACCAGCAUUAGUUGGAAAUAUUUCAAGCCUAAGAGUUUUGGUAAUGAAGAUUAAUAAUUUCAAAGGCAAUAUUCCUUCAGAAAUUGGUCAACUAUUGAAUCUCCAGAUCUUGCUUCUUUCUUCCAAUAAAAUCUCAGGUUCAAUUCCACACACAAUUACAUUGUUGCAAGGAAUGACAAUAGAAAGCCAAGAUGGUUUUGUAUUGCAUACUUCUAGAUUAUAUCUUGGGACAUUGUAUCAAGACGGAUUGGAUAUGACUUCAAAAGGCAUAGAUCAGCACUACCCAUAUAUUCUUUCCACUCUCACAUGCAUAGAUCUUUCAAACAAUGAAUUGGAAGGAGAAGUUGCUUCUAAUUUUGGGAAUUUGAGGGGGUUGAGGCUUCUAAAUCUUUCAAUGAACAACUUGAAUGGAACCAUUCCUAAGAGUUUUGGUGAAAUGAUUCAGUUGGAGUCAUUAGACCUUUCUAGAAAUAGAUUUUCAGGACAAAUCCCUGCAGAGCUUGAAUAUCUAAGCUAUUUGGGUUCAUUUAAUUUAUCCAACAACAAUCUAUCAGGAAGUAUACCACAAGGACGACAUAUAACUGGUACAUUUGGAGAAUCCUCUUAUUCAGGGAAUCCAAAUUUAUGGGGAUGUCCCUUACCCAAAAAUUGUUCUUUGGCAGAAUUCAUUCCUCCUCCUCCUUCAGUUUCAAUCAACAAAGAAACCCAAAGUAGCAAAUAUCUAUUAUAUAAGAUAGCAGUGGCAUUAUCAUAUGGAGCAGCUUUUGGAGGGAUAAUAUUAUUGAUUCUUAUAAAAAUGAGUUGGAGAAAGAAAUACUUCAGUAAAGUUGAUACAAUCUUAAAAAAAUUGUUUCCAUGGAUGAAAAAUUUGACAUUAUGAAGAGAUACAUCUACACUUGGUUAAAAUAUUAAUAGUAUUUGUCUCUGGAUAGGAUGGUUUCUUGCUGUUUGCCUCACUGAACCCAUGUUAGUGUACAGUUCUCCAAUCCAUUGCAGUGCAAAUGUUUUCAGUCUUGGUUAGUGGUCUUAAGAGCUGUGUAAUUAUUGUUCGAAAAGGACCUUCCUAGAAAAGAAAGUUUAUGUCCUUAUAUGACUUAAAAAAGCUUUUUAAUUUUCUUAGAAAUUGACCAUUUUCUGUAGACAUGAAUCAUAAUUUUUUUUUGUUUAAAAUGUGAAAACAAGAACGUUUGUGGAAAAUUUCACGUAGUGAUAUUUUUUGUAAUCUAAUUUUACAGAAGCGUUCACGUGUACAUAAUAUCUAAAAUGUUAUAAUUUUC